rnacentral:misc_RNA from 1 species
UAGCCCUCAUCUAAACCUUAAUCCC